rnacentral:rRNA from 1 species
GAUGAACGCUGGCGGCGUGCCUAAUACAUGCAAGUCGAGCGAACAGACGAGGAGCUUGCUCCUCUGACGUUAGCGGCGGACGGGUGAGUAACACGUGGAUAACCUACCUAUAAGACUGGGAUAACUUCGGGAAACCGGAGCUAAUACCGGAUAAUAUACUGAACCGCAUGGUUCAAUAGUGAAAGACGGUUUUGCUGUCACUUAUAGAUGGAUCCGCGCCGCAUUAGCUAGUUGGUAAGGUAACGGCUUACCAAGGCAACGAUGCGUAGCCGACCUGAGAGGGUGAGCGGCCACACUGGAACUGAGACACGGUCCAGACUCCUACGGGAGGCAGCAGUAGGGAAUCUUCCGCAAUGGGCGAAAGCCUGACGGAGCAACGCCGCGUGAGUGAUGAAGGUCUUCGGAUCGUAAAACUCUGUUAUUAGGGAAGAACAAAUGUGUAAGUAACUAUGCACGUCUUGACGGUACCUAAUCAGAAAGCCACGGCUAACUACGU